AACGAACGCUGGCGGCAUGCCUAACACAUGCAAGUCGAACGAGAACUUCGGGUCUAGUGGCGCAGGGGGGCGUACGGCGGGGGAACAUGCCCUUAGGUUCGGAAUAACUCCCCGAAAGGGGUGCUAAUACCGGUUAAUGUCUUCGGACCAAAGAGUUGUCGCCGUUGGAUGGGCCCGCGUUGGAUUCGCUGGUUGGUAGGGGAAAAGCCUACCAAGGGGUGGCUCCAUAGCUGGUCUGAGAGGAUGACCCCCCACACUGGGACUGAGACACGGCCCAGAAUCCUAGGGAAGGGGGGAGUGGGGAAUACAGGACUAUGGGGGAAAGCCUGAUCCAGCAAUGCCGCGUGAGUGAUGAUGUCCGUAGGGAUGUAAAUCUCUUUUACCCGUGAUGAUAAUGACGGUACCGGGAGAAUAAGCACCGGCUAACUCCGUG
rnacentral:rRNA from 1 species